rnacentral:rRNA from 1 species
GUGAGGAAUAUUGGUCAAUGGGCGCAAGCCUGAACCAGCCAUGCCGCGUGCAGGAAGACGGUCCUAUGGAUUGUAAACUGCUUUUAUUUGGGAAUAAACUCCGGUACGUGUACCGGCCUGAAGGUACCAAAUGAAUAAGCACCGGCUAACUCCGUGCCAGCAGCCGCGGUAAUACGGAGGGUGCAAGCGUUAUCCGGAAUCAGUGGGUUUAAAUGGUCCGCAGGCGGUCUUAUAAGUCAGUGGUGAAAGCCUACAGCUCAACUGUAGAACUGCCAUUGAUACUGUAGGACUUGAAUUCGAUCGAAGUGGGCGGAAUGUGACAUGUAGCGGUGAAAUGCUUAGAUAUGUCACAGAACACCGAUAGCGAAGGCAGCUCACUAGGUCUGGAUUGACGCUCAGGGACGAAAGCGUGGGGAGCAAACAGGAUUAGAAACCCUAGUAGUCC